UUUUCAAAUUCUUUUCAAAUCACUGGCAUGAUUUUGCAAGUAAGGUUUUGAUUGGUCGAAUGAAAUGUCAACUGGACAUGAGUUCCAACGGGCUGCUGCUAGAUCCACAUGUAAUACAUGCAAUACAUGUAGUGCACACACUCGCAUAAAGAGAUCUUGAAAUAAUAAACAUUAGUCGUAAAUUAGGUUAAAUAAUGUGAGAUGUUUGUAGUAAUGAAAAUACAACAUUCUUCGUGUCGGUUCUGCUUUGUCAUUUUAUUACUAAAACACUCAUCAGCGUACACGACAGGGGUGGGAGGGCAAGUGCCCUCUCUAGUGCUGGAUCAAAACCUCAAAUUCGGGGGUUAAUGAUACAGAGAUUCGGGGAAAAUGUGCUAACCUGAUACCUUUUUACCAGGCAUUUCAGCAAUGUACUCUCAAAUGUAGUUGUAAUCAUGUAGAAAUGCGCAGUGAUUCGUUUGCGACCCUAUAUAGCUAUUUGGUAGUAAUACUAAUAUGAAUAAAUGUUAUCCAGAUUCGGGUUUUUUUUUUUUUUAUUCGGGAAAAAACCAGCCUCCUACCCGCCCCCUUCAAGGCACUAAGGCCAAAAUCACGAUAUAUGUCAAAAGCAUAAACACCAUUCUCAAAUUAAAUGGUUGUCUUUCAUUUAGAAAUUAAAAGAAAAUAUUCCAAGCAUGUUUAAUGUUUUAGAACUAUUUCUUCUUCCAUUACGCAGUGCGUUAUUUAACACCACUGUUGAUUGGCUAGGUACGGUAUUCAUCACCACUGUUGAUUGGCUAGGUACUGUAUUCAUCACCACUGUUGAUUGGCUAUGCACUGUAUUCAUCACCGCUGUUGAUUGGCUAGGUACUGUAUUUGACACCACUGUUGAUUGGUUAGGUACUGUAUUUGACACCAAUGUUGAUUGGUUGGGUACUGUAUUUGACACCAAUGUUGAUUGGCUAGGUACUGUAUUUGACACCACUGUUGAUUGGCUGGGUACUGUAUUUAAUUCCACUGGUGAUGGCUAGGUACUGUAUUUGACUCCACUGGUGAUGGCUAGGUACUGUAUUUGACACCACUGGUGAUGGCUAGGUACUGUAUUUGACACCAAAGUUGAUUGGCUAGGUACUGUAUUUGACACCACUGGUGAUGGCUAGGUACUGUAUUUGACACCACUGGUGAUGGCUAGGUACUGUAUUUGACACCAAAGUUGAUUGGCUGGGUACUGUAUUUGACACCACUGGUGAUGGCUAGGUACUGUAUUUGACACCAAAGUUGAUUGGCUAGGUACUGUAUUUGACACCACUGUUGAUUGGCUAGGUACUGUAUUUGACACCAAUGUUGAUUGGUUGGGUACUGUAUUUGACACCACUGUUGAUUGGCUGGGUACUGUAUUUAACUCCACUGGUGAUGGCUAGGUACUGUAUUUGACACCACUGGUGAUGGCUAGGUACUGUAUUUAACACCAAUGUUGAUUGGUUGGGUACUGUAUUUGACACCAAUGUUGAUUGGCUAGGUACUGUAUUUGACACCACUGUUGAUUGGCUGGGUACUGUAUUUAACUCCACUGGUAAUGGCUAGGUACUGUAUUUGACACCACUGGUGAUGGCUAGGUACUGUAUUUGACACGACUGGUGAUGGCUAGGUACUGUAUUUGACACCAAUGUUGAUUGGCUAGGUACUGUAUUUGACACCACUGUUGACUGGCUAGGUACUGUAUUUGACACCAAUGUUGAUUGGCUAGGUACUGUAUUUGACACCACUGUUGAUUGGCUGGGUACUGUAUUUGACACCACUGGUGGUGGCUAGGUACUGUAUUUGACACCACUGUUGAUUGGCUAGGUACUGUAUUUGACACCACUGGUGAUGGCUAGGUACUGUAUUUGACACCACUGUUGAUUGGCUAGGUACUGUAUUUGACUCCACUGGUGAUGGCUAGGUACUGUAUUUGACUCCACUGGUGAUGGCUAGGUACUGUAUUUGACUCCACUGGUGAUGGCUAGGUACUGUAUUUGACUCCACUGGUGAUGGCUGGGUACUGUAUUUGACUCCACUGGUGAUGGCUGGGUACUGUAUUUGACUCCACUGGUGAUGGCUGGGUACUGUAUUUGACUCCACUGGUGAUGGCUGGGUACUGUAUUUGACACCACUGGUGAUGGCUGGGUACUGUAUUUGACUCCACUGGUGAUGGCUGGGUACUGUAUUUGACUCCACUGGUGAU